rnacentral:rRNA from 1 species
AAUAUGGGACAAGGGGGGCAACCCUGAUCCAGCCAUGCCGCGUGUGUGAAGAAGGUCUUCGGAUUGUAAAGCACUUUAAGUUGGGAGGAAGGGCUUUAGGCUAAUACCCUGAAGUUUUGACGUUACCAACAGAAUAAGCACUGGCUAACUCUGUGCCAGCAGCCGCGGUAAUACAGAGGGUGCAAGCGUUAAGCGGAAUUAAUGGGCGUAAAGCGCGCGUAGGUGGUUCAGUAAGAUGGGUGUGGAGUCCCCGGGCUUAACCUGGGAAAUGAUGUCAUAACUGCUGAGCUAGAGUACGGUAGAGGGUAGUGGAAUUUCCUGUGUAGCGGUGAAAUGCGUAGAUAUAGGAAGGAACACCAGUGGCGAAGGCGACUAACUGGACUGAUACUGACACUGAGGUGCGAAAGCGUGGGGAGCAAAC